rnacentral:rRNA from 1 species
CUUACACCCUUGACAUGUCCGGAACUUGCCAGAGAUGGACUUGGUGCCCGAAAGGGAAUCGGAACACAGGUGCUGCAUGGCUGUCGUCAGCUCGUGUCGUGAGAUGUUGGGUUAAGUCCCGCAACGAGCGCAACCCUUAUCAUUAGUUGCUACGCAAGGGCACUCUAAUGAGACUGCCGGUGAUAAACCGGAGGAAGGUGGGGAUGACGUCAAGUCCUCAUCGGCCUUUAUGGUAGGGCUUCACACGUCAUACAAUGGUCGGUACAGAGGGUUGCCAAGCCGCGAGGCGGAGCCAAUCCCACAAAGCCGAUCGUAGUCCGGAUUGUUCUCUGCAACUCGAGAGCAUGAAGUUGGAAUCGCUAGUAAUCGCGGAUCAGCAUGCCGCGGUGAAUACCGGUUCCCGGGCCUU